rnacentral:tRNA from 1 species
GAGGGUAUAGCUCAAGUGGUAGAGUGCAUGUUUAGCAUGCGUGAGGUCCUGGGUUCAAUCCCCAGUACCUCCU